CCCCCGUUUUCAGAUUACCCUGGCCCCCCUAUGCAUCGUACGUAUAUGUGAAUGUUCUCUUUCAGGAUAUAGAGUUCCAGUGGCAUAUCGUUUUUAUGUAGCCGAUAUUAAUAGUUGUUGCAUUUGUUUUCAGAUUACCCUGCCCCCCCUAUGCAUCAUCAUUGCUGCUACUGCUGCAAUCCGGACGCCAUUAGGGACAUUAUUCGAGAAAGUUUAUUACAAUCAUUAAUUGAUUUACUAAAUAUGGAAUAAAAAUAUUUUCUGUUGUAGAAAAUGUGUACUGUCUUGUAUGUUUCUUCUGUUUCAGGUGUGAAGGUUUUUCCGCUGGGGUUUUCUCCUUCACGCAGAUUGGCAACAUAAUUGGCAAUCCCCAGCACCAUUGGCUUUAAUUGACAUUACUAAGCAUCAUUGGCUUUAAUUGGCAUUAAUAAAAUAUUUUUCACUUG